CCUACGGGAGGCAGCAGUAGGGAAUCUUCCGCAAUGGACGAAAGUCUGACGGAGCAACGCCGCGUGAACGAUGAAGGCCUUCGGGUCGUAAAGUUCUGUUGUUAGGGAAGAACAAGUGCUAGUUAAAUAAGCUGGCACCUUGACGGUACCUAACCAGAAAGCCACGGCUAACUACGUGCCAGCAGCCGCGGUAAUACGUAGGUGGCAAGCGUUGUCCGGAAUUAUUGGGCGUAAAGCGCGCGCAGGCGGUUUCUUAAGUCUGAUGUGAAAGCCCCCGGCUCAACCGGGGAGGGUCAUUGGAAACUGGGAAACUUGAGUGCAGAAGAGGAAAGUGGAAUUCCAAGUGUAGCGGUGAAAUGCGUAGAGAUUUGGAGGAACACCAGUGGCGAAGGCGACUUUCUGGUCUGUAACUGACGCUGAGGCGCGAAAGCGUGGGGAGCAAACAGGAUUAGAUACCCUGGUAGUCCACGCUGUAAACGAUGAGUGCUAAGUGUUAGAGGGUUUCCGCCCUUUAGUGCUGAAGUUAACGCAUUAAGCACUCCGCCUGGGGAGUACGGUCGCAAGACUGAAACUUAAAUGAAAUUGAACGG
rnacentral:rRNA from 1 species